rnacentral:rRNA from 1 species
GACGAACGCUGGCGGCGUGCCUAAUACAUGCAAGUCGAGCGAGCGGAACUAACAGAUUUACCUCGGUAAUGACGUUAGGAAAGCGAGCGGCGGAUGGGUGAGUAACACGUGGGGAACCUGCCCCAUAGUCUGGGAUACCACUUGGAAACAGGUGCUAAUACCGGAUAAGAAAGCAGAUCGCAUGAUCAGCUUUUAAAAGGCGGCGUAAGCUGUCGCUAUGGGAUGGCCCCGCGGUGCAUUAGCUAGUUGGUAAGGUAAAGGCUUACCAAGGCGAUGAUGCAUAGCCGAGUUGAGAGACUGAUCGGCCACAUUGGGACUGAGACACGGCCCAAACUCCUACGGGAGGCAGCAGUAGGGAAUCUUCCACAAUGGACGCAAGUCUGAUGGAGCAACGCCGCGUGAGUGAAGAAGGUUUUCGGAUCGUAAAGCUCUGUUGUUGGUGAAGAAGGAUAGAUGUAGUAACUGGCCUUUAUUUGACGGUAAUCAACCAGAAAGUCACGGCUAACUACGUG